UCGCUACGCCGAAUACACAAGGACGAAGAAGGGGACAGAGACGAAGCGCUUCGUCUCUGUCUCCUUCUUCGUCCUUGUGUAUUCGGCGCUUUCC
rnacentral:pre_miRNA from 1 species